rnacentral:rRNA from 1 species
UACGAGAGGCCCAAACGUUAUUCGGAAUUACUGGGCUUAAAGAGUUCGUAGGCGGCGCAGAAAGUAGGGUGUGAAAGCCCUCGGCUCAACCGAGGAAUUGCGCUCUAAACUACUGUGCUUGAGGAAUCUAGAGGUGAGCGGAACUGAUGGUGGAGCGGUGAAAUGCGUUGAUAUCAUCAGGAACACCGGAGGCGAAGGCGGCUCACUGGGGAUUUUCUGACGCUGAGGAACGGAAAGCCAGGGGAGCGAACGGG